rnacentral:misc_RNA from 1 species
GAUGAAGAACGUAGCGAAAUGCGAUAAGUAAUGUGAAUUGCAGAAUUCAGUGAAUCAUCGAAUCUUUGAACGCACAUUGCGCCCGCUAGUAUUCUGGCGGGCAUGCCUGUUCGAGCGUCAUUUCAACCCUCAGGCCCCCAGUGCCUGGCGUUGGGGAUCGGCCGCUGGCGUCCUUCGGGGCGCCUGGCCGGCCCCGAAAUCUAGUGGCGGUCUCGCUGUAGUCCUCCUCUGCGUAGUAGCACAACCUCGCAGUUGGAGCUCGGCGGUGGCCAUGCCGUUAAACACCCCACUUCUGAAAGUUGACCUCGGAUCAGGUAGGAAUACCCGCUGAACUUAAGCAUAUCAAUAAGCGGAGGA